rnacentral:misc_RNA from 1 species
GAUGAAGAACGUAGCGAAAUGCGAUAAGUAAUGCGAAUUGCAGAAUUCCGUGAGUCAUCGAAUCUUUGAACGCACAUUGCGCCCUCUGGUAUUCCGGAGGGCAUGCCUGUCUGAGCGUCAUUGUCAACCCUCAAGCUCAGCUUGCUGUUGGGUCCCCGUCGUUGCUUUAACGGCGGACCCGAAAGGUAAUGGCAGAGUCCGUGAGACCCUAGACGCAGCGAGCUUCUAGCACGCGUCUGGACGUUUUUCGGGCUCGGUCUUAACUAGAUGAUAACUUCCGAUUGACCUCAUAUCAGGUAGGGAUACCCGCUGAACUUAAGCAUAUCAAUAAGCGGAGGA